GUCCAGACUCCUACGGGAGGCAGCAGUGGGGAAUAUUGGACAAUGGGGGGAACCCUGAUCCAGCGACGCCGCGUGAGUGAAGAAGUAUUUCGGUAUGUAAAGCUCUAUCAGCAGGGAAGAAAGAAAUGACGGUACCUGACUAAGAAGCCCCGGCUAACUACGUGCCAGCAGCCGCGGUAAUACGUAGGGGGCAAGCGUUAUCCGGAUUUACUGGGUGUAAAGGGGGCGCAGACGGCGAUGCAAGCCAGGGGUGAAAGCCCGGGGCGCAACACCGGGGCGGCUCGUGGAACUGCGUGGCUAGAGUGCAGGAGGGGCGGGCGGAAUUCCUGGUGUAGCGGUGAAAUGCGUAGAUAUCAGGAGGAACACCGGUGGCGAAGGCGGCCUGCUGGACUGCAACUGACGUUGAGGCCCGAAAGCGUGGGGAGCAAACAGGAUUAGAUACCCCUGUACA
rnacentral:rRNA from 1 species